rnacentral:misc_RNA from 1 species
GAGUCUAGUGAUUGUAAAUCGGCAUUUGAUGCAAGGAUAGGGCUAAAGUUAGUCUUAUUUCAUACCUAUAUAACUGUGUUCCGAUAAUUUUGUAUCGAUUGCAUUAAGCAACAUUCACUCUUCACCAAAUUCAAGAACUCAAUAGAUUCAGCAGACUUUGCUCAAAAAGAUUCUCCCCUAGCAGUCAAUUUUACCUCUUUUCCCAAGUAAAUGGACUUCUGUACUACAAAAUAAAAAAAUGGGGACAUGUAAUUAGUUUCUAAUCGGUGGAUCUUGCUCAAUUCACAGAGGAAGUUCCUUCUUUCUAUUUGACAUAAACCAAUGGAGCUCUUUCACGAAUACAAUAUCCACAAUUU